ACGCUCGACACCUACGGAAGGCAGCAGUUAGGAAUAUUGGGCAAUGGAGGAAACUCUGACCCAGCAACGCCGCGUGAAGGAAGAAGGUUUUCGGAUUGUAAACUUCUGAUCUAGGGGAAGAAGGAAGUGACGGUACCCUAGGAGAAAGCCACGGCUAACUACGUGCCAGCAGCCGCGGUAAUCUGAGCGGGCUGGCAAGGC
rnacentral:rRNA from 1 species